ACGUAGGGUGCGAGCGUUAAUCGGAAUUACUGGGCGUAAAGCGUGUGCAGGCGGUUCGCUAAGUCAGGUGUGAAAUCCCCGGGCUUAACCUCGGAAUGGCGUUUGUGACUGGUGAGCUAGAGUACGGCAGAGGGGGGUGGAAUUCCAGGUGUAGCGGUGAAAUGCGUAGAGAUGUGGAGGAACACCGAUGGCGAAGGCAGCCCCCUGGGCAGAUACUGACGCUCA
rnacentral:rRNA from 1 species